UACGUAGGGGGCAAGCGUUGUCCGGAAUCAUUGGGCGUAAAGAGCGCGUAGGCGGUCCGGUAAGUCCGCUCUGAAAGUCCGGGGCUCAACCCCGGGAGGCGGGCGGAUACUGUCGGGCUAGAGUCCGGAAGAGGCGAGUGGAAUUCCUGGUGUAGCGGUGAAAUGCGCAGAUAUCAGGAGGAACACCAAUGGCGAAGGCAGCUGGCUACACGAGCAUUGACACUCAGGCACGAAAGCGUGGGGAUCAAACAGG
rnacentral:rRNA from 1 species